AUUGAACGCUGGCGGCAGGCUUAACACAUGCAAGUCGAACGAGUGGCGGACGGGUGAGUAAUGCUUGGGAAUCUGGCUGAUGGAGGGGGAUAACGACGGGAAACGGUCGCUAAUACCGCGUACCAUCGGAUGAACCCAAGUGGGAUUAGGUAGUUGGUGGGGUAAUGGCCAACCCAGGCGACGAUCUCUAGCUGGUCUGAGAGGAUGACCAGCCACACCGGGACUUAGACACGGCCCCGACUCCUACGGGAGGCAGCAGUGGGGAAUAUUGCGCAAUGGGGGCAACCUGACGCAGCCAUGCCGCGUGAAUGAAGAAGGCCGUCGGGUUGUAAAGUUCUUUCGGUGACGAGGCGUUACUCACAGAAGAAGCACCGGCUAACUCCGUGCCAGCAGCCGCGGUAAUAC
rnacentral:rRNA from 1 species